AAAAGAAACCAACAGGGAUUGCCUCAGUAACGGCGAGUGAAGCGGCAAAAGCUCAAAUUUGAAAUCCCCCCGGGGAGUUGUAAUUUGAAGAUUGCGUCUUGGAGGCGACCGUGUCUAUGUUCCUUGGAACAGGACGUCACAGAGGGUGAGAAUCCCGUGCGGCACGGCCCCCGGCUCCUUAUAAGGCGCUCUCGACGAGUCGAGUUGUUUGGGAAUGCAGCUCAAAGUGGGUGGUAAAUUCCAUCUAAAGCUAAAUACAGGCGAGAGACCGAUAGCGAACAAGUACAGUGAUGGAAAGAUGAAAAGCACUUUGAAAAGAGAGUGAAACAGCACGUGAAAUUGUUGAAAGGGAAGGGGCAUGCCGUCAGAUUGUCAGUGUGGGUAAGAAGCGGGGUACAAAGACUGUGGAACGUGGCCCUCGGGUGUUAUAGCCGCAGUUCAUGCCCCGUCUCUUUCCGAGGCCUGCUUUGAGGACACCGACGUAAU
rnacentral:rRNA from 1 species